rnacentral:lncRNA from 1 species
UGUUCCAAAGGCCAUUCUGCAAUGAUGAAGGGGGAUGAUUGAAAACCACAGAGCUCAGCGUGAUACCUCCGUCUGCUGUUGGCAAAGCUUUAAGACUGCUGGGAACUCAGACGAAAUCAUCCACAGGCUUGGAGGGAGCUGGACUAAAUUGGUCUAACUAGGACACUUGAAGGCUUGUGAAUCAGUUCACACGAUCAGUGUGAAAAGCGGGUAUGAAGACCCAGAUGCUGGUGUGUACGUGUGCAUAUAAGCCCCAACAGCUAGAAAUCAAGCCUUUCUGGCUUCCGAUUGUUGGAGAAGUGGAAACAGUUAAUGGAGUAUGCAAUGAGUUCUGGCGGUCAGAAGUCCAAAAUGGGUCUUACACGACUAAAAUCCAGAUGUCGACAGGGAGGAAGAACUGAGGAUCCUACAUCAUGUUAGGGAGCAGCAAGAGCACUGUAGUAAGACAUAACCCUCCUUUGCCUCUCUAUGUCCUCUGCCCCAUGCUGCUUAUGUCCUUAUUGAAGUUAAGAGUCCGGCUGUCAUUGAGAACCUCUGAUACUGCACCAUUUGAUGAAGGGCUAUGAAAAAUUCCCCCGAGAACAGCAAUGCACACUGAUCCUACCAGCUCAUUCACUAGAAUACAGAUUCUGCCAGAAACGGAGUAGAAAAACUGUGGCUCACCCGGGACCCAGUCUUUCCCCAGGUUCCCCACAGAUGAGCUCUGAAUCUGUUAUAAUUGACUCACCACGACCUGCAUGUACACAUGGAAUUCCUCAUGGCAUCCUUAGAUCUUUUUUGCCACAUCCUUUUGCUCUGACUCGAAGAGAUCCCUGGGUCCAGAAAGUGCUCUUCUUGGUCUGUGGGCAGAAAC